rnacentral:rRNA from 1 species
AUGCCGCGGCAGUUCUGGUCCGUCGAGGGGGCGGAGGAGGCCCUGGGCUGCCGCGUCGACCGCCUCAACAGCCGCACCUUCGAGCGGAGCCACACCAAAAGAUUCGCCUGCUGGGUGUGGGUGUGGGAUGUUGGGCUCAUCCCGACCAAGCACACCUUCUGGCGGAUGGAGCGAGGGGCGGGCCGCGUGGAGGAGAUGCUCGGUUUCUCCCCGCCGGGACGCGUCAUUGCCACACCACCAUCUGCGAGCCGGCACGACGUCCUCAUCCACGUGGACCGCAUCGAAGACUGG